GUGAGCUCUAUUUUAAUAUAAAAUCUGUAAAGAGAGGCUUUCCAAAAACAUGGGUUACUGGAUGGCUGGACUCUUUGCAAUCCAGAACAGUGGAUGCAGCAAGACUGUGUGAACUAUGGGGUAUUUGUGUGCACUGUAAGGUUUAUUUCUCACUUCACUAUAAAAAUGUUUUCAAUGGAAAAGUGUUGUCUUGGGAUGUGAACAACAAUGUCUUUUUUAUUUUUUUAUAAAGACAGCAGAAAUGGAAGCAAAAAACAUAAAAAUGUCAUCUGAAGUGCUUCAAACAUUUCAGCUAGUACACCUACAUGUUUAAGAUUUGAAAGAUGUGACAAUUGAAGUAAGAGAAAUAGGAAUUAAGAGUUUCAAAUCACAUUUAACAAAAAGAGAAUAUUACAAUUCAUAUGUACUGCUGGACAGGACUUUCCGCCUGCAAUUGGUGAAACAGAGGAAAGUGAAAUAGAGACCAACAUCUGCAUGGCCCAGGACAUAAAAGCCUGCAUUUAUCAAAACACAGAAGAUAAGUCAUAUGGUAUGUGCAAGUUUUGGUGUAAAUUAAUUUUGCUGCUGUUAAAAUUACAAUAAUGUUUGUUUUUAGAACACACAUCAAACGUACGAAGUGGGUUCAGUGUGACCUGUGCAACAAAUGAUUACAGUCAGAUUGCUCUGGCAUAGACCCUAAAACAAUUACUAAAGACACACCCUUCAGCUGUGGAUGUGAUGAAGAACAGCCAUAUUCUUUUCAAAGGUUAGCAACAGAACUAUUGUCAGACACAAGAUGGGAACACAGAGGUAGUUGAACGUGACACAGGUGAAGCACAGGUUUCAGACACAGGUGAAGCAACAGGAAUAGUCUUGACAGGAAGAAGGUUGGAACUUAGCUCUGGUUGUGAUGGAAGUAGAUGACAGAAUCGGAAGGCGGCACAGAGGAACUGACGAGGAAGGAACAACGGGUACUCCUCCAUGGCCUUCUGUUCCGGGAUGGACAGUGGGUAGAUCCGACCCUUUGGGAGGGUCGCUCCAGGCAGGAGGUCGAUGGCACAGUCCCAUGGCCGAUGAGGUGGUAAACGUGUAGCCAACCGCUUGCUGAAUACAUCCUGGAACGCCCAGUACGCUGGUGGGAUUUCCACUAUCACAUUAGUCGCCGGGCUCUCCACAGAGGUGGACAGGACAGGAAGAUGAUCAGGAGUUGCGGGAGAUUUCGGUUGGGGCUUUCUUGGGCGAUUAAUACACUUCUCAAAACAUUCAUCACUCCAUUUGAGAAUCUCACCGGUUGCCCAUUGGAUAUGUGGCUGGUGGGCGUUUAACCAGGGGCGUCCCAGGAUGAUGUCCGCGGUUGACUCCUCCAGCACCAUGAACGUGAUUUCCUCCAUAUGCAGGCUGCCAACAUGGAGGAAUAGUGUGGGGGAGUAAUGGCGGACACGACCUCUACCCAGCGGCUUUCCUUGGAUGGUGAGUAUUCUCAGGUCGACUGGGCAUUUCUUCUGACGAACAUUUAAUUCUUGGAGGAUUUGGGUGCUAAUGAAGUUCCCAGCCAACCCAGAGUCGAUGAGGGCUUGCGCUGAAACACAGGAAUGAGAAUUACCGACAUGGACCAGAGUCUUAAUGAGUUGAAAGGUUUGAGGUGGAAAUUGGAGUGUACUCACCGCUGGGUGUGGAGGUAGGACCGGGCAGUUGGAAAUCACAUGUCCGUCUCCCCCACAAUAAAAACACAGGCGAUUAUUCAGCCAUCGAAGACGCUCCGCGUUGGUCAGAUGGUUUGAAUCAACCUGCAUUGGUUCAGGUGCUGGGGCAGCAACAGAUGUUGAAGCAGGCAGAGGAUUGACAGCGGGAGUAUUCAUGUGGGAGAAGUAUAAACGUUGUGACACUCUGAUAGUCUUCUGAAUAAGAUUCUCAAGUCCCAUGGUGUCGUCAUAGACGACUAUUAGCUGCUGAACCUCCCUUCGCAGACCAUGACGAAAAGCAGUUAUCAAAGCAGUUUCGUUCCAACCACUCGUUGAAGCCAGAGUGCGAAAUCGGAGAGCAUAUAUGCUGACGGACUCCUCUCCUUGAUGACUAUGAUAUAACUGAUCAUGGACAGACAGUUCAGCGGUAUGAUGAACAAAAACAUCUUUCAUGUGAGCAAAGAAGGUGGAUAGUGAAGUCGUUACCGGAGUAUUUGUUUCCCAAAGGGGUUGAGCCCAUUGUAGCGCUCGUCCAGAGAGAAGCGAGAUGACGAAUGCAACGCGACCGCGUUCAUUCUGGAACAGGUGAGUGUUGGCCUCGAUGUAGAGCGAGCACUGAAGCAAAAGCCCGCUGCAAUCCUCCGCCGCGCCGCUGUAUGUUGCUGGUCGGGCCACGGGACUGGCAGAGGCAGCUGACGAAGUAGUCGUUGUUGCAGGUGGCUGCUGGAGUGCUUGCUGUACGGCCGUGAUGAUCUCGGGAGAAACAUGGGUUAGGCUCGUCGUGGGUUGUGGUAGUGAGGACCGUACAGCGUGAACUAGUGCAGCAAAUGGAUCCGCGGUGCGGUCCCCGCCUGUGUCCGGAGAGCUCUGCAUAUGGUCUGAUCUUCUGUCAGACACAAGACGGGAACACAGAGGUAGGUGAACGUGUAGCAGUAUUUAUUGUGACAGAGGUUUCAGACACAGGUGAAGCAACAGGAAUAGUCUUGACACUGUUGUGAAUAAUGAAGAAAUUGUGGAAUAACAGUUUAAUGUGCAACAAGCUAUACACACACACACACACACACACAUAUAUAUAUAUAUAUAUAUAUAUAUGUGUGUGUGUGUGUGUGUGUGUGUGUGUGUGUUCUUAUAUUUUAUUUGAAAAUAGUUUUUCUUGUUUUUAUUUGUAAAAACUCUUUAUCUUUGUAAAAUACUGAUACAGUCUGUGCUCCGUGAUUUUACAAUUUUAAGUUGUCUUUCCUUAUUGAAUUAUUAAAAAGCAUUGCAGUUUGUCCUGUUGUCACUGAAAUUACUGGUAACACUUUAUAAUAACUGCACGCUAUUAAUCAUUAGUUAAGCAUUAGGAAACAGUUAAUUCAGAA
ensembl:lncRNA